rnacentral:rRNA from 1 species
AUGAACGCUGGCGGCGUGCCUAAUACAUGCAAGUCGAACGCUUCACAUUUGUGAAGAGUGGCGAACGGGUGAGUAAUACAUAAGUAACCUGGCCUUUACAGGGGGAUAACUAUUGGAAACGAUAGCUAAGACCGCAUAGGUGUCAUAACCGCAUGGAGAUGAUAUGAAAUAUGCUACGGCAUAGGUAGAGGAUGGACUUAUGGCGCAUUAGCUAGUUGGAGGGGUAACGGCCCACCAAGGCGACGAUGCGUAGCCGACCUGAGAGGGUGACCGGCCACACUGGGACUGAGACACGGCCCAGACUCCUACGGGAGGCAGCAGUAGGGAAUUUUCGGCAAUGGGGGAAACCCUGACCGAGCAACGCCGCGUGAAGGAAGAAGUAAUUCGUUAUGUAAACUUCUGUCAUAGAGGAAGAACGGUGCGUGUAGGGAAUGACAUGCAAGUGACGGUACUCUAUAAGAAAGCCACGGCUAACUACGUGCCAGCAGCCGCGGUAAUACGUAGGUGGCGAGCGUUAUCCGGAAUUAUUGGGCGUAAAGAGGGAGCAGGCGGCACUAAGGGUCUGUGGUGAAAGAUCGAAGCUUAACUUCGGUAAGCCAUGGAAACCGUAGAGCUAGAGUGUGUGAGAGGAUCGUGGAAUUCCAUGUGUAGCGGUGAAAUGCGUAGAUAUAUGGAGGAACACCAGUGGCGAAGGCGACGAUCUGGCGCAUAACUGACGCUCAGUCCCGAAAGCGUGGGGAGCAAAUAGGAUUAGAUACCCUAGUAGUCCACGCCGUAAACGAUGAGUACUAAGUGUUGGGAGUCAAAUCUCAGUGCUGCAGUUAACGCAAUAAGUACUCCGCCUGAGUAGUACGUUCGCAAGAAUGAAACUCAAAGGAAUUGACGGGGGCCCGCACAAGCGGAGGAACAUGUGGUUUAAUUCGAUGAUACGCGAGGAACCUUACCCGGGCUUAAAUUGCAAAGGAAUAAUCUGGAAACAGAUUAGUCUUCGGACCUUUGUGAAGGUGCUGCAUGGUUGUCGUCAGCUCGUGUCGUGAGAUGUUGGGUUAAGUCCCGCAACGAGCGCAACCCCUGUUGCCAGUUGCCAGCAUUAAGUUGGGGACUCUGGCGAGACUGCCGGUGACAAGCCGGAGGAAGGCGGGGAUGACGUCAAAUCAUCAUGCCCCUUAUGACCUGGGCUACACACGUGCUACAAUGGACAGAGCAGAGGGAAGCGAAGCCGCGAGGUGGAGCGAAACCCAGAAAACUGUUCUCAGUUCGGACUGCAGUCUGCAACUCGACUGCACGAAGUUGGAAUCGCUAGUAAUCGCGAAUCAGCAUGUCGCGGUGAAUACGUUCUCGGGCCUUGUACACACCGCCCGUCACACCAUGAGAGUCGGUAACACCCGAAGCCGGUGGCCUAACCGCAAGGAAGGAGCUGUCUAAGGUGGGACUGAUGAUUGGGGUG